CUACCAUGGCUAUCACGGGUAACGGAGAAUUGGGGUUCGAUUCCGGAGAAGGAGCCUGAGAAACGGCUACUACAUCUACGGGAGGCAGCAGGCGCGUAAAUUACCCAAUCCUGACUCAGGGAGGUAGUCACAAGAAAUAGUAUACCAGACACAUCGUGUCUAGUUUUGCAAUGGAUUUAGUUUAAACCCUUAUUUGAAAUCUAUUGGAGGGCAAGUCUGGUGCCAGCAGCCGCGGUAAUUCCAGCUCCAAUAGCGUAUCUUAAUGUUGUUGCAGUUAAAAAGCUCGUAGUCGAAUAUCUGACCGGGAAAACCGCACUCCGUGGGGAUCUUUCCUAGGUCAUCCGCCUGAAAAAUUAGUGGUUUUUCAUCGCUCUACUUAUGGAUCAGGCGCUUUACUUUGAAGAAAUUAGAGUGUUUCAGGCAGGCUAUCGCUUGAAUACACCAGCAUGGAAUAAUGGAAUAGGACUUUCAUCAGUUACUGGUUAAUGAUGUUUGUAAUGAUUAAUAGGGACAGUUGGGGGCAUUCGUACUUGACAGUCAGAGGUGAAAUUCUUCGAUUUGUCAAAGACGAACUAAUGCGAAGGCAUCUGCCAAGGAUGUUUUCAUUGAUCAA
rnacentral:rRNA from 1 species